AUCAGACUAGAGGUACAUGGAGGUUUCUAUCAGACUAGAGGAGGUUUCAUCAGACUAGAGGAGGUUUCUAUCAGACUAGAGGAGGUUUCUAUCAGACUAGAGGUUUCUAUCAGACUAGAGGAGGUUUCUAUCAGACUAGAGGUACAUGGAGGUUUCUAUCAGACUAGAGGGACAUGGAGGUUUCUAUCAGACUAGAGGAGGUUUCUAUCAGACUAGAGGAGGUUUCUAUCAGACUAGAGGAGGUUUCUAUCAGACUAGAGGUACAUGGAGGUGUGGAAUAAGAAUAUAUAAACAUAUAAACAGCUCCAACUCUACCUGUGGUCCAAACAGGGUUUAAACACAG
ensembl:lncRNA